UCUCACAGUCUGGUUUAAAUAUAUACAUCUAUUGCUUUAAAUCUCAAUUUUGGAUGACCCGGUUUUGUGGCCCACAAACACACUUCGAUGGGCGAGUGCACGUGCAAAACUACCUUUGAAUGGGACUUUGCUAUGGAUGAGAAUGUUCAUAACAUGCAGUUCUGACUUGUAACAAUCCAACCUUUGUGCCAGCCAAAGGAAUUGUGGCCCUGGUGUUGAAGCACUUUGGAUGAUGAUAUUCACACUCCGUAAUGAUAGGAUCUGUAAAGUUCUGAGCCUUCUUCACUCAAACAUCCAAGAGGCAACAGCUGGCUCAGAGCCUUGUUAAUGGAACAGAGAGCUUUUCACCUCUAGGUCACUGGCUCAGCUGUGACCCAGGCAGUAGAGAAUAAAAGACUUACAAUCUGACAGCUAUUCAGUGGCCUUUGGGGAAAAAGCUUGGCAUCUCAGUUCAGUUCCUAGUGUCAAUGUCACAAAAACUGCCAUCACGGUUGAUCCUCUUGUUGGCAGUCUCAUCAGAAAGGCUAGGGAUUAAAAGGCUCUUGGAGAUUAACAUUCUCUCUUGACAUUAUAGAUGCUCCUUCCUGGUCUGGGGUGUGACACACCCACAGGGGGGUGAUGUGAGUGCCCCGAUGCACCUAUUCUGUGGCUAUUCUCCAGGUCUGUCAGUCUGAGGAUUUGAUGCACUCUUAGAAGGAAAAACAACGUGCGAAGGAGGAUGUUGAUAAAGUGAAAUUUAAAUUAUGAUAAUCAUUCAAGAUUAAAUUGGAUGUUUCUCUGUCUUCAGUAUUCCCAGAUUUACUGGAAAUGGUGACCACCUCAGUAACCAUUACCUAUCAGCAUCUAUGAUUAUCUCAUUGAUCCCUUAUGCUGUAGUCUCCUCUCUCCUAGAUAUUCAGAAGAUACAGGAAAGGACAUCAUCACAGACUGGUCGAAUCAGUGUCCCUCCUGCCCAUGGCACCGUGUCACUCCCAGACAUGCCAGUUUCAGUGAUGGGGCCUUCCAGGACUGGCGAGAAAAAUAGGAUGGUUUGCAGUCCCAGGCCCUGGAGUCUGCCCUCUGUGGGCCACUUUACCUGCCCUGUGAGGGGGUGCGAUGACCUGAACGGCCCAUGCUGGAGGCCUGUGCUCGGGACUUUGAGACAAGAGUGACACUCACCCUCUCUCCAAGGGGACACGAGACAGUCCUCCCAGUGUAUAUAAUCUGGACAAAGGAGGAAGGAAUGGAGAGAAGACAUCAAAAUCUAACGGGAUCCUAACAUUAAAAGUGAUGUAAAAAGCCAAAGGGGGAUGCAGGGAGGAAGGACAAGGAUAAUCUGCAGAAAUGCAGGAAACCAACAGAAAUGUGUGGGAACCAACCACUUCUUAUCCUAGCCUGCAAUUCUCCAAAAGCAGCUCUUCUCUCCCUGUUACUCUGGUAUUAUGAGCCAAUGUCACACUAAAGGGACUCUUCAUCAUUCCCCAACUCCAGCAUGCCGCUAUGAUCUGCGUGGGUCCAGUAUCUGAACAGCUCAGAUGGAAACUCAGACUAAUCCAUGGAUUUCACAUGAAGUUUAACGUUCUGUAGAUGCACAUUUAGCAGCCUUCUGAGGUCCCUGUAAAAUUUUUAUUUUCUUCCAAAAACAGCUUUGGGGGCUGGUUGUUUUUAAAACAAAGUCUAACACAUUUAAUCAUCUUUUCAUAAGCUGUCAGCUUGUUUUAUAUGUGAACUUGGAGUCGUGAAUUAUGCUCAAAUCUCAGAGCAAACCUUGCACAUGUGCAGCAAGAACUUGGCACAAAUACCAACAAUAUGACAUCUGUGAUGGUAAGAGUUCUAAGCCCUUGGUGACAAGUUUGCAGAAUCAGGGCCUAGAACUAUAAAGGCAAAUUAUAAAAAAGGUCAGGUUAUAGUUUUGUGAUUUUUUUUUAGACAAUCAUUUAAAAAUUAUGCCAAAAGCCUUAGAUUUUAGUAUUUAACUCAAAAUAGCCUCUAUUCCUUCCCUAAAGCUGAUAACAUUUUAAACCACUAUCCCAAUAGUCCCUCAGCAGCAACAAACGAACAGCUCUCCAUGCUAGAUGAAAGCCUCCAUGAUUGUAAGGACAAACUGUUGGCCCUCAUUUACAGAAUUCCUGCCCUCGCCCAGCCCCCUAUCCAGCCUAGGUUUUACAGUGAAACUGAUUCAGCUUUUUCCUAUCAGGGUCACUUAUCCCUAUAUUAAAAAAAAAAUCAGCUUUACUAACUUCCAUUAAUAUAGCAUCUUUCAUCCCACUUUUAAGUCUAACAAACUGAUAUACAGGCAUCUUUUCACUCACCACUAAGAUGCAGCCACCUCUAGGGUGGAAAGCACUAGCAGUUUAACAGAGUAGAGCAAGUCUGUAUAAUACUGACAAAGGGCUGGAAGAGAAGAUAACUGUAUGUGACAGUGCAUAGAAUCUUUUUGGAGGCUAGCAAAGAAGUGGUUAAUUCUGGCUAGUGAAAAGAACAUAGCUGCCUGCCCUGAGUGCAGGGAAUUGCAGGGUAACAGGGCUGGGCCAGUGGGAGGGAAUUAAUUGUUUCCACCUACUCAUAUGAGAAGGAUGGUGCUGUGGGCUGAGUCCAACAAACGAGGUCAAGAUACCUAGGAGGAGGUAGAAAUGUCAAGCUGGAGGUUGACUUGCUCCUUUGGGGACCUUGGCUAAAGUGAGCUAUGUUCUAGAUUUUUGCUUUGCCCUUUAGCAGAGCAGAGUCCUGUCGUUUGCCCCUUAAGAAGCAGGUGACUCACUCCUUUGUAGUUUCUGGUUUGUUGUACUAUCAAGUUUACCACCCUUAAAGACCAGCAUUUCCAUAACCCCUCACUGUCGGGUCAUGAGUGUUGAACAUCACUGGUCAGACACCCAGUUCUAGGCCUUUGCAAUGUCUAAAGGUUAUCAGCUAAAUGAGGGAAGUUGGGGAUGGAGAAGAUCUUCUGGGUCAUCUAGUUAAUUCACUAGCAAGUGCAGGACUAUGCUGCCUGCUUCUGGGAAUACAUUCUCUCCUGCCUUUUACAGUUUAGUCUCAAGUAUCUUGCAUGGUGGCUUUUCCACUCCUUAAUUGGGAGACUAUUUCACAAUUUAAUCUCCUCUUCGGGGGAUUCUUUUACCUUUUCCUCAUUCCAUCCUGCUACACCUGGUUAGACCCCUUUUGGAGCAACCUAAACAAUCCCUUUGCCUUGCUAAUGAUAUUUCUAUCCUUCGGGUAUAUAUGGAGUGCUAUGGUUGGCAGUUAGUUUAGGAGACCUUCUCUUUAUGUGUCUAUAAAAUACUCACUGCACUGCUGCCCCUAAACAAAUUGAUAAUGUCCACUCCAACUUCAGUCAUCAUGUAGCUCAGAGAAUAACUCUUUCCAUUGAACUGGUAACACAAGAGGUAGUAUUGAAAUGUUCCCUGGGUUUCCACAAGUGGGUCUCUAGGAGGAAAUUUUUUCUUCAUGCUACAUUGCUGUGAAGAUCUUCUAGUGAAAUCCUGGAAGUCUUGCAAGUUUAAUAGUAAAGGUUAAUAAUAAUCACAACAGGCAGCACAUCAUUGCCUUUGUAUCUGGUUGAGAGAUUUACAACUUAAGCUCAUGGCAGAGGAAGAAAUUGCUUCAAUCACCUGGAGUAAUGGCACACAGAGAGCCACUUGGGCAUGACUGCUAUUUAACAUGACAAACCCAGCCCGGCUUCAUUUCAUGUGCUGGUUCUUUUCUAAUAAACACGUUACUCGAUAAGGUGAGGAUUAUGUUUUAAAAAAUAAGUAAAUUGGAGAUGGGGGAGAGGGGUCAGCGUGCAAUGGAUUUUUCAGGGGUGGGGCACAGUAGAAGGAAAGAAGGCAACUCAUGGAAUGUAGCGGAUAACUCCUUUGCAGAGAGAGUCCCAAAACCCAAGGAUAGCCCUUGCUUUGUGGGUAGGCAGCCCCAAAGCCUGAUGACUAAGCUCUUAAAUUGGUACCCAUUGCUAUAAUAUCUAGCAUCUCUGUGACUGAUAAUUAAAGACUUGGGGAUUGAGAUGAUAUUUGCAGGGCCCGAUGGUCUUGUAUAUGGCUUAUCCACAACAGGUGGAAACACAUUAUUGUCAGGUGCAGGCACAGGUUGCUGUUGCUGGAUUCAAUCCAGCUGAGAUGUUUGGGGUCGUCUCCUUUUUCCCUCAUACCUCUGACUGAGCUGAUGUGAGUGAUGGACUAGAGCUUCGAUAAGUAGAUCUUCAGUUUCUCCAGCCCUACCUGGCUAGGUCUUACUGUAGCAAGCUGUACUGAACUGUCCCUUAAAGACUUCUGUAUUGUAAGAAGAGAACCCCAGGACUGCUGGAGUUUAGUUUAGUGAAGGAAAACUAUGCACGGAGCAGGUUGUGGGAGCUCUGCUGUUACAAAAUCACUCAGCAUACUGGUGUGUUUCUCUGUGACACUACACAAGUAAAAAGAUGAACCUAUUGGAAUGUCACUUACACUCCAUUUUUCUGUUGGUCUCGAGGCACCCAGC